GGACUACAGGGGUAUCUAAUCCUGUUCGCUCCCCUAGCUUUCGCACCUGAGCGUCAGUUCAUCGCCAGGACACUGCCUUCGCCUUUGGUGUUCUUCCGGAUCUCUACGCAUUUCACCACUCCACCCGGAAUUCCGUGUCCCUCUCGAUGCCUCAAGUCUUUCCGUUUUGAAGGCCCUCCCUCGGUUAAGCCGAGCGCUGUCACCUCCAACGCGAAAAACCGCCUGCGUGCCCUUUACGCCCAGUAACUCCGGACAACGCUCGCCCCCUACGUAUUACCGCGGCGGCUGGCAC
rnacentral:rRNA from 1 species